rnacentral:ncRNA from 13 species
GGCCGGGUAGCGCGCAGCCAUACAACACCCGAAAGGGGAAAACUGCGGNCCGUCUGAUAGCGGUGUUCAAGUACCCGGCCGCCCCUCU